rnacentral:rRNA from 1 species
CCUACGGGCGGCAGCAGUGGGGAAUAUUGGACAAUGGGGGGAACCCUGAUCCAGCCAUGCCGCGUGUGUGAAGAAGGCCCUCGGGUUGUAAAGCACUUUCAGUGAGGAAGAACGCCUGGUGGUUAAUACCCAUCAGGAAAGACAUCACUCACAGAAGAAGCACCGGCUAACUCCGUGCCAGCAGCCGCGGUAAUACGGAGGGUGCGAGCGUUAAUCGGAAUUACUGGGCGUAAAGCGCGCGUAGGUGGCUUGAUAAGCCGGUUGUGAAAGCCCCGGGCUCAAACUGGGAACGGCAUCCGGAACUGUCAAGCUAGAGUGCAGGAGAGGAAGGUAGAAUUCCCGGUGUAGCGGUGAAAUGCGUAGAGAUCGGGAGGAAUACCAGUGGCGAAGGCGGCCUUCUGGACUGACACUGACACUGAGGUGCGAAAGCGUGGGUAGCAAACAGGAUUAGAUACCCCGGUAGUC